rnacentral:rRNA from 1 species
GACGAACGCUGGCGGCGUGCUUAACACAUGCAAGUCGAACGGAAAGGCCCUGCUUUUGUGGGGUGCUCGAGUGGCGAACGGGUGAGUAACACGUGAGUAACCUGCCCUUGACUUUGGGAUAACUUCAGGAAACUGGGGCUAAUACCGGAUAGGAGCUCCUGCUGCAUGGUGGGGGUUGGAAAGUUUCGGCGGUUGGGGAUGGACUCGCGGCUUAUCAGCUUGUUGGUGGGGUAGUGGCUUACCAAGGCUUUGACGGGUAGCCGGCCUGAGAGGGUGACCGGCGACAAUGGGACUGAGAUACGGCCCAGACGCCUACGGGAGGCAGCAGUGGGGAAUAUUGCACAAUGGGCGGAAGCCUGAUGCAGCAACGCCGCGUGCGGAAUGACGGCCUUCGGGUUGUAAACCGCUUUCGCCUGUGACGAAGCGUGAGUGACGGUAAUGGGUAAAGAAGCACCGGCUAACUACGUG